GGGUCGGUGCCCGAGUGGUUAAAGGGGGCGGAUUGUAAAUCCGCUACGUCAAGUUACGUUGGUUCGAAUCCAACCCGGCCCA
rnacentral:tRNA from 2 species